GUGAGGAAUAUUGGUCAAUGGACGAGAGUCUGAACCAGCCAAGUAGCGUGAAGGAUGACUGCCCUAUGGGUUGUAAACUUCUUUUAUAAGGGAAUAAAGUGAGGGACGUGUCCCUUUUUGUAUGUACCUUAUGAAUAAGGAUCGGCUAACUCCGUGCCAGCAGCCGCGGUAAUACGGAGGAUCCAAGCGUUAUCCGGAUUUAUUGGGUUUAAAGGGAGCGUAGGUUGACAUAUAAGUCAGCUGUGAAAGUUUACGGCUCAACCGUGAAAUUGCAGUUGAUACUGUAUGUCUUGAGUGUACAAGAGGUGGGCGGAAUUCGUGGUGUAGCGGUGAAAUGCUUAGAUAUCACGAAGAACUCCGAUUGCGAAGGCAGCCUGCCGGAGCACAACUGACGCUGAAGCUCGAAAGUGCGGGUAUCGAACAGGAUUAGAAACCCCGGUAGUCC
rnacentral:rRNA from 1 species